GACGAACGCUGGCGGCGUGCUUAACACAUGCAAGUCGAACGGAAAGGCCCUGCUUUUGUGGGGUGCUCGAGUGGCGAACGGGUGAGUAACACGUGAGUAACCUGCCCUUGACUUUGGGAUAACUUCAGGAAACUGGGGCUAAUACCGGAUAGGAGCUCCUGCUGCAUGGUGGGGGUUGGAAAGUUUCGGCGGUUGGGGAUGGACUCGCGGCUUAUCAGCUUGUUGGUGGGGUAGUGGCUUACCAAGGCUUUGACGGGUAGCCGGCCUGAGAGGGUGACCGGACACAGUGGGACUGAGAUACGGCCCAGCCUCCUACGGGAGGCAGCAGUGGGGAAUAUUGCACAAUGGGCGGAAGCCUCAUGCAGCAACGCCGCGUGCGGGAUGACGGCCUUCGGGUUGUAACCCGCUUUCGCAUGUGACGAAGCGUGAGUGACGGUAAUGGGUAAAGAAGCACCGGCUAACUACGUG
rnacentral:rRNA from 1 species